rnacentral:lncRNA from 1 species
UCAAAGAAAUUGUCAUAUUCCCAAACAUGGAAACUGGGAUCACCUUAUUUGAAAGUGGGAUAACUUCUUCAUCCUAACUCCUAUGAGAUUUAUUCAAAUUCCUGGUGAUUCUCCACUACUCUUUGUAUCUAAAUCAAGCUUUGUACAUCGCGAUUCAUCCUGGUUUGAUUAGAAUGUCGAAGAAGUUGUCAUAUUCCCAAACAGGAAAACUGGGAUCACCUUAUUUGAAAGUGGGAUAACUUCUUUAUCCUAACUCCUAUGAGAUUUAUUCAACUUCCUAGUGAUUCUCCACUACUUUAUGUAUCCAAGUGAAGGUUCUUACUAUUAGAUUUUGUGAUUUAAAGAGUGAUUAAGUUUAAUCUGAGAAUUAAAGAGAUUGAAGAUUAAGAACAAGAGAGAGAGAGACUCAAAACUCCAUUAGAUUGAUUAAUGAGAGAGUUUACAACAUAUAUAGAUAAGAGAUACACAAAAACGUCCAGGUUCAGUCUAGCUAGGAUAAGAAGCAUGUGUAGUCA